GCUAACUUUACUUAGCAUAAUCUGCUCUAAUGCCAUCCAUUUGCCUGCAAAUGCCAUGAUUUUGUUAUUUUUUAGUACUGAGUAAUAUUCUAUUGUGUAUAAAUGCCACAUUUUUUAAUCCAUUCAUCUAUUGAAGGGCAUCUAGGUUGGUUCCACAUUCUAGCUAUUGUGAAUUGUGCUGCUAUAAACAUUGAUGUGGCUGUGUCCCUGUAGUAUGCUCUUCUUAGGUCUUUUGGGUAUAGUCCGAGAAGGGGAAUAGCUGGGUCAAAUGGUGGUUCCAUUCCCAGCUUUCCAAGGAAUCUCCAUACUCAUACUGCUUUCCAAAUUGGCUGCACCAAUUUGCAGUCCCACCAGCAAUGUAUGAGUGUACCUUCCCCCCGCAUCCUUGCCAGCACUUGUUGUUGUUUGUCUUCAUAAUGGCUGCCAUUCUUAUUGGAGUGAGAUGGUAUCUUAGAGUAGUUUUAAUUUGCAUUUCUCUGAUUGCUAGAGAUGGUGAGCAUUUUUUCAUGUAUUUGUUGAUUGGUUAUAUAUUCUCUUCUGAGAAGUUUCUGUUCAAGUCCUUGGCCCAUUUGUUGAUUGGGUUAUUUGCUUUUUUGUUGUUUAACUUUUUGAGUCCUUUGUAUACUCUAGAGAUUAGAACUCUAUCUGAUGUUUGAGGGGUAAAAAUUUGUUCCCAGGAUGUAGGCUCCCUAUUCACCUCGCAUAUUAUUUCUCUUGCUGAGAAAAAACUUUUUAGUUUGAAUUCGUCCCAUUUGUUGAUUCUUGGUUUUAACUCUUGUGCUAUAGGGUCUUAUUAAGAAAUUUGGGGCCUGCCCCCAUGUGAUGAAGGUUAGGGCCAACUUUAUCUUCUAUUAGAUGUAGAGUCUCUGGUCUGAUUCCUAGCUCCUUGAUCCAUUUUGAGUUGACUUUUGUGCAUGGUGAGAGAAAGGGAUUCAAUUUCAUUUUGUUGCAUACGGAUUUCCAGUUCUCCCAGCACCAUUUGUUGAAGAUGCUAUCCUUUCUCCAUUGCAUGGUUUUAGCACAGCCCUUUAAUAUUUUUUAUAUCAAGACAGUGUCCUGCUCAGUUGCCCAGACUGAUUUGAACUUGGGAUCCUGUCUCAGCCUCUGGAAUAACUGAGAUAUGGAUUGCGGACGUGGCUCUCCUCAUCCCGCUGGGGAGAUCUCUUUUGAAACCAGAAAUUAUCUUGUUAUUCAGCACCUUGAAUGGUGCCUGGUAUGUUGAAGAUGCUCGAUAAGUAUUUGUUGAAUGAGUAAAUGAAUGUCCCUCCCCUAAUUAGAACUUUUUUUUUUUUUUUUUUG
rnacentral:lncRNA from 1 species